UUUAUGUGAUUAAUUACGAUGUGAUUAGCCUAUGUGAAGGCGAGCAUGUGAAUACAGGUGUUUAUGUUACUAUUUGUUAGUUUAAAUCGUGUUACGGAGUAAGUUUAUGUUGUGUUUGCGUGACACCCUAUGUGUAUAGUUAUGUAAAUUCGUAUUAUCACGCGUUUGAGUUUUAGGGGGUUACAUAGUGGUAUCGGAGCAAGUCGGCCCGUCCGACCAAAUUUUUUUCAUGUUUUUGUUCUCUAGUAUGUGACAUGUAUGUGAAACAUUG
rnacentral:lncRNA from 1 species